UUGCCAACAGCUAUUGUCAGUGCUAUUGUUUCUACAGAUCAUGUCGCUUUAUUUAGGUUAAACAAAAUUAAUUCAAUAACGAAUUGUUUUUCGCAAUUUCAAACCGAGGGAUAUUGCCCGCCCUACUUAAAAUGAAAGAAGUGACGGUUCCAGUGCGUUCGUUUGGAUGCUUACUAAAUUUUAUUUGGAAUAUACUGGUCCGAUUUUUGUUAAUGUUUAUGUCCCGUUAAGUUAAAGUUCACAGAUGCAAAUGAAAUCGGAUGGAUUGUUUAAUGAUAUUAUAAUAACAAAAUCUGGUAUUUCUUCGCAUGAGAGGAGCAAGACGUGCCGGAAGUAGACCUCGCGUGCGCUGCGCAGGCGCUUCCGAUUAUAGUAAUGGGAAAAUAUUAAUAAUAGAAAGUAUUUUUUACAUUUCUCCUAUUGUCUGGGUAUUAUUUUCGUUGAGAAUAUUUUUUAUUAAUUAAUGCGUUUUGUUAUAUAAUAACAUUAAAUAACAGUAAAAUUAAAA